GCACUGCUGAAGAGUUCCACAAUAGAACGAGACGGCAGUCCAGUGC
rfam:Schistosoma margrebowiei strain Zambia genome assembly, scaffold: SMRZ_contig0003595